CCGCACUCGCUCCUCCUCCACCCCUCCCGUGACCACACGCCGCCGCCAUCUCCUUCAUCCAUCGGUCGCCGCCUUCGCCUACUCCUCCUCCCCUCCCACUCCCGGCAGCACGCAACACCCCGAGGACCUCCCCUUGACCCGCCUCUUCCUCCCAUCCAGCCAGAUUCAUGGAGCAAGGCCUCUCACGCUCGCUCGCGACCCUCAGCUGUGUCUAGGGGUUUGGGUAGGGCAUCGCCUUUGUCGCUGGUGGACUCCGGCGGCUCCUCUUCGUUUCCUCCCUCGCCCACACGUGCGGCUCCGCUUCCCGCGGGCUAUGGCGCGUGGUUGGCCUCCCGGCGCCAAGAACCGUCCCAGGCCUCGCUGCAUCUCCGGCUCUAGCAAGGCAUUCCUGGGCGACCGGGGAGCACGGGCGGCUUCAUCGGGAGGAGCACCAGGCCAACCCCCAGCGGUUGGCGCCACCGGAUGGCGGCGGCCACCUUCUUCUCCCGGCCGCACCACGCCACAGGUGGAGGCGUUCCUCUUGCUCUUCCUCGUGGUGGCAUGGCAGCACCACCGUCAACGUCGAGCAUGGGUAGGAGAACGAUGCAGCCGUCCACAGAUAUUACACUGAAAGUGGCUUCCCAUGUCCACACCUGAGGAACCCAUCUGACCACUUCCUGAGGACAAUCAACAAAGAUUUUGACGAGGAAAUUGUAGAGAGUUCCAAAGCUAGGAAAAAAAGGCAGCUGAAGCAAUAGAGAUUCUGACAGAUUCUUACCAGUCCCCCGCUUAUUCAAAGAAAACAAUGGACCGGAUAGCUGAGAUGAAAGGGAUAGUAAGUUGCUUACAAGCCGCAUUUUUUUUCUCAAGAGUAAAGAUUGUAUUGUUUUGGCUGUACCAAAAUGUUUGGUUACAAAGAAGGGACUACCCAAAUGCGGACAAUCUGUAUAUACCAACUGCAAAAUAAUUACUAGGGCAAAUUCAGUCAGUGAAGUACUCCCUCUAGCUCAUGAAAAAGUGGUGUCUUUUACACAGCCUUCAAAAUGUACCUUUGGCAACUAGUUUUUGUUGUGGUAUAAUAUGCACAUAUAAUACCCAGUAAAAUUAUAACAUGUUGGAAAUAUUUUCUGAGAAACGCAUAUCAUUUUGGAUCUGAAUAUUCAAAACAUACUAGCCGUCAAAGUUUUCAAAGUUUAUCUCCUAAAGAAUCUCCAUUAUGAACUAGAGGGAACAACAUGCUAAUUCAGCGUCUGUACAACAUGUCAUUUUUCAUUUGAAUGAACCGGCAACAAAACUCUCGCCGCAGAGUAUACGGUGCUGGCCUAGCGAUGUUUACACAUUCAAAAUCAAAUUAUAGUUCUAGUAUUAUUGAGCUAUGUUCCAGGGUGGAGCUCCAUUUAGGAAGAGGGAACAAGCGAGCUUCUCAACAAAGCUCUUUAUACACACCAGAAGGUCAUUUGUGAAUAUGCACAUGGACAUAUGAUACUACUGGAUGCGCUUGGGUGUUUACCUGGGCAUUGGCAUUUGUCUUGGCACCAUAUUCUACCAAGUUAGCCACAAUUACAGUUCCAUCCAGUCUAGAUGUGAAGUAAUAAUGUAUACGACGGAACUUCUUACCUUCAUGGCCAUUGGAGGAUUCCCUUCUUUUCUAGAGGACAUAAAGGAUGCUUUCUCCCUGCCAUCAGAGUAUUCAGAAGGGAGAGGCCGAGUGGCCAUUACGGCGUGGCGGAGUUUGUGAUAUCAAACACAUUGUCAGCCACUCCAUACCUGGCCGUCAUCGCUGUGAUCCCUGGCGCAAUGCUGUACUACCUUACCGAGCUAAUGAAAGGACCUGACCGCUUCACCUACUUCGUCGUCAACUUGUGCAUGUGCACACUGCUGGUGGAGAGCAUGAUGAUGAUCAUCGCUGUCGUCGUCCCAGACUUCCUGAUGGGGAUCAUCAUCGAGGCCGGGGAGCAAGGGGUGAUGAUGCUCAAUGGAUUUUGUUUUCGUUGUUGAUCCUGAUUUAGAUAACACCAAAGGAACAAAUCAAGUGAGCUGCAACCAAAACUACCCAACAAGGUUGUCUACAAGGAUUCAGAAGACGACGAUUUGCUUCAACUGCAUUUGGAAGCAGCUGCUAGGAGCAUGGAAACCAUUGGAAGAACAUAAAGUUGAAGCAUAGAAAGGAAGGAGAUUUUGUUUGCCGAGAGGUUUAAUCGUUUCAACCGAUUUAAAUGCAAAAGGGAGGUACACUCUCUCCUGAUGUUGAUGUUAAAUUAACUAUUGAAUGCUGGACUAUAAAAUAAUGGGAUCAAAAUUAGGUUCAACAUCGUCAAGGACAAGAACACCUGAACCCAGAGAAGAUGACUAUCUGAUAGUAAUCCCCUAUUCCCACAUAUUUGGGCUUAUGCUGGAAGCUUUAAAAUUGCCCCCUGCAAUUUACCAUCACAAGAUACGUCCGGGUGGCAAGGCUCGUGUGACAGUCACUUUCAAUUCUUCCUUAGAGCAGCUUGAUGGUUUGCUUGUUCCUACCUCAAUAUCUGGUAUGGUUUCACAUACCUAUGAAGAUGCAGAAGACAGUGCCGCUAUAGAAGCUAUUAGAUAUAUGGAAAACGUGCGUGGGAAAGAAAUUAGAGACUACCACUACACCCAUGUCAUAACGCUUCAAAAUCAAGUUAGGCAUUUGGUCACGUGGUUGUUGGAAGGAAAUGAGACUAUCAAGUAACUACGCAAAGGCUGGUACUAUGCUGUUAGGUAUAUGAGCUCAUAUUCUGACCAGAUACAGAACUCAACAACUGCUCGACACCUAAGAGGGCAAGCUAAUACCAAAGGGAUUAUGAAAUCAGCGCUGGUAGGCAUUGAGGAACUGACACAGAGGUUACAUUAUAUUGGAAUGAAGUCAGAUGAGCGGCUGAUGACUAUUAAAGAUAGCUUCUGAUAACCUUAAAAAACAUGUCCCAAUCAGCAGGUUUGAGUGCUUAGUAGGCAACAUACUUUUGGUUCUUAUUAGUCAAGUUUAGUAGUGGAACAUUUGUCUUUUGGAGGUCUCCAAGUGCUUUUAGAUUUGUACUAUGCAAGAAUCAUGUAGCGAUGACGUUCUGCUCCAAAGACCGAACCUACAAUGACAGCUUCCUUUAUGUAAGUGUUUGUGUAAACAAGUGUGAGGCAAGCAGCUGUCUGUACUCUUACCAGGUGGCUUCUCAUCUUCUGCUGUGAAAUGUUAUGUUUAUGUUCGUGUCUUAUCAGGUGGA